UCUCUAUGCGUAAUUGUGUUUGGGCGUACGAGUAACUUCACGGCCGCGUGCACCUUCAACGCUGAGCGUCUUUCAGCGUCCACGGGCGUUCUAUCUCGCACACGGGUGCGUUCGUUAGAUCGCUGCUGGCUUCAUAUUAUCAAAACGAGAACGAAGAGUGCAGCUGAGGAGCUAAGAUGAAGAGUGGAGAAGAGUCGGAAAGAUGUUGCUACUGCGAAUACCGCAGCUGCUGGAAGGAGUAGCAAAAGGAUGGAGCAAAGAAUCAUUAAAAUUACGCUACCUGCCGGAGCAGCUUUACGCAACUCUAUGACAGGCGCAAGCAGCUAGACGCUGCUGCUGUUGAUGACUGGUCGGACGGAUGAACUGGUAGAUGGUCACCCUCCCUUGAGAGAACGAUACUCGAUUUUGAUGCCAACUCGACUGACAAGAUAGAGCGAUGAAGAGGGGGAGUGACUGCGCACAAAGAAAAGAAAAAAAAGGUGUUCGAGCUUUGAAAUCGUCCUCGGAAGGCAAUUUGCUGAACUGGAAGUGGAGAUUACAAUCGUCAUAGAAAAGCUGUUCUAAACGGUUCACGGGUGUCCAAUAGGGAGCUACGCUUGUGCGCUAAACAUGACCUAGUACUAUGAUCAUCCAUCAAUUAAACAUUGGGCUACGGUGUUUAA